CCUACGGGUGGCAGCAGUGAGGAAUAUUGGUCAAUGGGCGCGAGCCUGAACCAGCCAAGUAGCGUGAAGGAUGACUGCCCUAUGGGUUGUAAACUUCUUUUGUCCGGGAGCAAUACUGGUUACGUGUGGCCGGACGAGAGUACCGUACGAAUAAGGAUCGGCUAACUCCGUGCCAGCAGCCGCGGGAAUACGGGGGAUGCAAGCGUUAUCCCGAUUUAUUGGGUUUAAAGGGUGGGUAGGCGGUGAGGUGAGUUAGCGGUGAAAUGCCCCGGCUCAACAGCGGGCAGUGCCUUUGAUACUGCCGUGCUGGAAUGCGGAUGCGGUGGGAGGAAUGUGUGGUGUAGCGGUGAAAUGCAUAGAGAUCACACAGAACACCGAUUGCGAAGGCAGCUCACGAAUCCGCGACUGACGUUGAUGCACGAAAGCGUGGGUAGCAAACAGGAUUAGAUACCCGAGUAGUC
rnacentral:rRNA from 1 species